rnacentral:rRNA from 1 species
AGAGUUUGAUCCUGGCUCAGGAUGAACGCUAGCGACAGGCUUAACACAUGCAAGUCGAGGGGCAGCGGGGCGGCAGGCUUGCCUGCCGUUGCCGGCGACCGGCGCACGGGUGAGUAACACGUAUGCAACCUGCCCGUGGCAGGGGGAUAAGCGGGGGAAACCCCGUCUAAUACCGCGUAACGCGGCCUAGGGACAUCCCAAGGCCGCCAAAGGGAGCAAUCCCGGCCACGGAUGGGCAUGCGGCGCAUUAGCUAGUCGGCGGGGUAACGGCCCACCGAGGCGACGAUGCGUAGGGGUUCUGAGAGGAAGGCCCCCCACACUGGUACUGAGACACGGACCAGACUCCUACGGGAGGCAGCAGUGAGGAACAUUGGUCAAUGGGCGCGAGCCUGAACCAGCCAAGUCGCGUGAGGGAGGACGGCCCUACGGGUUGUAAACCUCUUUUGCCGGGGAGCAACGGGCGUCACGUGUGGCGCCACUGAGAGUACCCGGAGAAAAAGCAUCGGCUAACUCCGUGCCAGCAGCCGCGGUAAUACGGAGGAUGCGAGCGUUAUCCGGAUUUAUUGAGUUUAAAGGGUG